rnacentral:rRNA from 1 species
UUACUAGAGUAGCACUCGCAUAUCAAUAAGCGGAGGAAAAGAAACUAACAAGGAUUCCCCUAGUAACGGCGAGUGAAGCGGGAAGAGCUCAAAUUUGAAAUCUUAAAGGGUUUCCCUUUACGAAUUGUAGUUUAAAGAAGUGUUUUCUGUUGAGGUUUUGGUAAAAGUUCUUUGGAAUAGGACAUCAUAGAGGGUGAGAAUCCCGUAUUUGACCUUUACUUUCAACUUUGUGAUACACUUUCAAAGAGUCGGAUUGUUUGGGAAUGCAGUCCAAAAUGGGUGGUAAAUUUCAUCUAAAGCUAAAUAUUGGCGAGAGACCGAUAGCGAACAAGUACCGUGAGGGAAAGAUGAAAAGAACUUUGAAAAGAGAGUUAAACAGUACGUGAAAUUGUCAAAAGGGAAGCGUUUGACACCAGUGUUGUUUUUCUGAAAAUCAAUUAAAGAACUGUUUAUGCUAAGUUGUUUAGACUUUAUCAGCUAACUGUUUAGUUUUGAGCUUUUCUUUAAUGCACUUUUCAGUUAACAAGUCAACAUCAAUUUCUUUUGCUGUAAAAAAGCUUGAGGAAGGUGGCUUGAGAUUCGUCUUAAGUGUUUAUAGCCUCUUGCCUAUGCAGUCGGAGAGAUUGAGGUCUGCAGCGUAGAUCCUUCGGGGCUAAAUGCAUUUGUGCUAAGUUAUAGCAUUUUAUAGACAACCUGUUGACUAUGAUUUGUCUUGUAGCUUACUCGCUUAUGUUAUUUUACCUACGCUUAGGAUGUUGAACUCUAUCACACACAG